rnacentral:lncRNA from 10 species
CCUCCUUAGCCCCUGGCAACUACUAAUUUGGUCUCCACUUGUAUAAUUUUGUUAUUUCAAGAAUGUUCUGCACAUGGAAUCAUACAGUAUGUGACCUCUGGGGACUGGCUUUCUCCCACUCAGCAUAGUUUUCUGGGUGUUCCUCCAGGUGGCUCAAUUGCAACGUAGUUUUUUCCUUUUUAAUGCUGACUAGGAGUCUAAGUAUGUAACCUUCUGAGCCUGGCUUCCUGAGUUCAGUGUAACAAUGUUGCAAUUCAUCCCAGUUGCCUUAUGGAUCAAUAGUUUGUUCCCCUAUUAUUGCCGAGCCUGAUUCCAUUUAUGAAGGUAUGACACUUUGUUUAGCCAUUCACCAGUUGAAUGACAAUUGGGUUGUUUCCACGUGUGUGCAUAUGUGUGUGUGGUGGGUCAAACCAGAUGUUUCUGCUUCUUGCCAGUGGUGAAUAAAACCAGUAUAAAUAUUUGCAUUCAAAUUUUUGUUUGAACAUAAGUUUUCAUUCCAUUUGGAUAAAAACCCAGGAGUAGGGUUUGCUUGAUAUGCAUAAGCGUGUAUUUAUUAGAAAUUGCCAAAUGGUUUUCAGAGGGGAAGCCUCCUAUGGGGGUGGGGACAUUUCAGUGGGGCUGGGCCAGUUACAGGGAGGUAAAGGGAAAUGGGGACCCUUCCAAUUGCUGCCCUGGUUACCCUAAGGUCUUGAGUAGUGACAAGGAACUUGGCAGCACAGCUGCCCCCAAGAGGCCUUCCAGGGUCCCUCCUCUGUGGACAGGACUUCAGACUGGACAGUUACUCAUCUGUUUUUAUCAGUCUG